rnacentral:misc_RNA from 1 species
GUAGGUGAACCUGCGGAAGGAUCAUUAUGAAUCAGUAGCUUGCUACUGUGCUGGGGGAGAUGGGAAAGUCCUGGCUGGAAAGUCAGUGUACCGGUACCUGCACCCCUAUCAUACCCUUGUCUUUUGAGUACUUAUGUUUCCUUGGCAGGCUUGCUUGCCAGUUGGACUUUAUAUAAACCUUUUUAUUUAUAAAUCAGCGUCUGAAAAAAUUAAUAAUUACAACUUUCAACAACGGAUCUCUUGGUUCUG